UUGCCAGCCCGCUCAGAAACUUAAAGGAAGUUGACGGGGGCCCGCACAAGCGGUGGAGUAUGUGGUUUAAUUUCGAUGCAACGCGAAGAACCUUACCUGGUCUUGACAUCCCGGAGACCCUUAGGAAACUAGGGGGUGCUUCCAUCUGGAAGAAUCUGGAGACAGGUGCUGCAUGGCUGUCGUCAGCUCGUGUCGUGAGAUGUUGGGUUAAGUCCCGCAACGAGCGCAACCCUUGCCUUUAGUUGCCAGCAGUUCGGCUGGGCACUCUAAAGGGACUGCCGGUGUUAAACCGGAGGAAGGUGGGGAUGACGUCAAGUCCUCAUGGCCUUUAUGACCAGGGCUACACACGUACUACAAUGGCCGAUACAAAGGGCAGCGACACUGCGAGGUGAAGCCAAUCCCGUAAAAUCGGUCUCAGUCCGGAUUGGAGUCUGCAACUCGACUCCAUGAAGUUGGAAUCGCUAGUAAUCGUGGAUCAGCAUGCCACGGUGAAUACGUUCCCGGGCCUU
rnacentral:rRNA from 1 species